GAGGAAUGUCUGCGACUAAGUCAAGGGCCACUGGAUAAGGGUUGUUGAUGGCAAAACAGGUUGGAGACUACAUAAGACUUUGACAGUUGGCGGGAAACCAUCAUCAACUGGAGAGAUGCCGGAAGAGGAAUGUCUGCGACUAAGUCAAGGGCCACUGGAUAAGGGUUGUUGAUGGCAAAACAGGUUGGAGACUACAUAAGACUUUGACAGUUGGCGGGAAACCAUCAUCAACUGGAGAGAUGCCGGAAGAGGAAUGUCUGCGACUAAGUCAAGGGCCACUGGAUAAGGGUUGUUGAUGGCAAAACAGGUUGGAGACUACAUAAGACUUUGACAGUUGGCGGGAAACCAUCAUCAACUGGAGAGAUGCCGGAAGAGGAAUGUCUGCGACUAAGUCAAGGGCCACUGGAUAAGGGUUGUUGAUGGCAAAACAGGUUGGAGACUACAUAAGACUUUGACAGUUGGCGGGAAACCAUCAUCAACUGGAGAGAUGCCGGAAGAGGAAUGUCUGCGACUAAGUCAAGGGCCACUGGAUAAGGGUUGUUGAUGGCAAAACAGGUUGGAGACUACAUAAGACUUUGACAGUUGGCGGGAAACCAUCAUCAACUGGAGAGAUGCCGGUAAAAAGAUGGCCAUAAAACAGAAGAGGAAUGUCUGCGACUAAGUCAAGGGCCACUGGAUAAGGGUUGUUGAUGGCAAAACAGGUUGGAGACUACAUAAGACUUUGACAGUUGGCGGGAAACCAUCAUCAACUGGAGAGAUGCCGGUAAAAAGAUGGCCAUAAAACAGUGACCGCUGAUUCGCAUUGAGUUCUUUCUUACAUAUUGGAUGACCUAUGUUUUUUAUUGUUUAAAUCAUUGCGGCUUGGAAUGCUCUUUAAGAAAAGGUAUGGUUAUGGGGGUGUCUACGCGCAAAAGUUUGACUUUAUUUUUUGUUAAAGUUAUUGCUUUUACAUUGAAUUUGUGCAGGAAAUCUUUUGGUAUGUUGUGACCUUAACC